AGAGUUUGAUCCUGGCUCAGAUUGAACGCUGGCGGCAUGCCUAACACAUGCAAGUCGAACGUGAAAGCCCUUCGGGGUGAGUAGAGUGGCGGACGGGUGAGUAACGCGUGGGAAUCUACCUUGUAGUGGGGGACAACCCGAGGAAACUCGGGCUAAUACCGCAUACGUCUUACGAGAGAAAGGGGGCCUUUUGGGGCUCUUGCUACAGGAUGAGCCCGCGUCCGAUUAGCUAGUUGGUGAGGUAAAGGCUCACCAAGGCGACGAUCGGUAACUGGUCUGAGAGGAUGGCCAGUCACACUGGGACUGAGACACGGCCCAGACUCCUACGGGAGGCAGCAGUGGGGAAUAUUGGACAAUGGGCGCAAGCCUGAUCCANCAAUGCCGCGUGUGUGAAGAAGGCCUGCGGGUUGUAAAGCACUUUCAGUGGGGAAGAAAGGUUUGAGGUUAAUACCCUUGGAUUUUGACGUUACCCACAGAAGAAGCACCGGCUAACUCCGUGCCAGCAGCCGCGGUAAUACGGAGGGUGCGAGCGUUAAUCGGAAUCACUGGGCGUAAAGCGCGCGUAGGCGGCAGAGUCAGUCAGAUGUGAAAGCCCCGGGCUCAACCUGGGAAUGGCAUUUGAAACUGCUCAGCUAGAGUAUGGUAGAGGGAAGUGGAAUUCCAGGUGUAGCGGUGAAAUGCGUAGAUAUCUGGAGGAACACCGGUGGCGAAGGCGGCUUCCUGGACCAAUACUGACGCUGAAGUGCGAAAGCGUGGGGAGCAAACAGGAU
rnacentral:rRNA from 1 species